rnacentral:rRNA from 1 species
GACGAACGCUGGCGGCGUGCUUAACACAUGCAAGUCGAACGAUGAAGCGGGUGCUUGCACUCGUGGAUUAGUGGCGAACGGGCGAGUAACUCGUGAGUAACCUGUCCUUUUCUUUGGGAUAACGGCUGGAAACGGCUGCUAAUACUGGAUAUUCAGGCUGCAUCGCAUGGUGUGGUUUGGAAAGGUUUUUUCUGGGAUUGGGUGGGCUCGCGGCCUAUCAGCUUGUUGGUGGGGUGAUGGCUUACCAAGGCUUUGACGGGUAGCCGGCCUGAGAGGGUGGUCGGUCGCACUGGGACUGAGAUACGGCCCAGACUCCUACGGGAGGCAGCAGUGGGGAAUAUUGCACAAUGGACGAAAGUUUGAUGCAGCGACGCCGCGUGGAGGGUGUAGGCCUUCGGGUUGUGAACUCCUUUUUCUCGCGAAAAAGGCACAGUUUUGGCUGUGUUGAUGGUAGUGGGGGAAGAAGCGCCGGCUAACUACGUG